AGGAGAACUUACGUAACAGGUUAGGAGAACUUACGUAGCAGGUUAGGAGAACUUACGUAGCAGGUUAGGAGAACUUACGUAGCAGGUUAGGAGAACUUACGUAGCAGGUUAGGAGAACCUACGUAGCAGGUUAGGAGAACUUACAUAGCAGGUUAGGAGAACUUACGUAGCAGGUUAGGAGAACUUACGUAGCAGGUUAGGAGAACCUACGUAGCAGGUUAGGAGAACUUACGUAGCAGGUUAGGAGAACUUACGUAGCAGGUUAGGAGAACUUACGUAGCAGGUUAGGAGAACUUACGUAGCAGGUUAGGAG